rnacentral:rRNA from 1 species
CAUGAUGAACGCUAGCUACAGGCUUAACACAUGCAAGUCGAGGGGCAGCAUGGUCUUAGCUUGCUAAGGCCGAUGGCGACCGGCGCACGGGUGAGUAACACGUAUCCAACCUGCCGUCUACUCUUGGACAGCCUUCUGAAAGGAAGAUUAAUACAAGAUGGCAUCAUGAGUCCGCAUGUUCACAUGAUUAAAGGUAUUCCGGUAGACGAUGGGGAUGCGUUCCAUUAGAUAGUAGGCGGGGUAACGGCCCACCUAGUCUUCGAUGGAUAGGGGUUCUGAGAGGAAGGUCCCCCACAUUGGAACUGAGACACGGUCCAAACUCCUACGGGAGGCAGCAGUGAGGAAUAUUGGUCAAUGGGCGAGAGCCUGAACCAGCCAAGUAGCGUGAAGGAUGACUGCCCUAUGGGUUGUAAACUUCUUUUAUAAAGGAAUAAAGUCGGGUAUGGAUACCCGUUUGCAUGUACUUUAUGAAUAAGGAUCGGCUAACUCCGUGCCAGCAGCCGCGGUAAUACGGAGGAUCCGAGCGUUAUCCGGAUUUAUUGGGUUUAAAGGGAGCGUAGAUGGAUGUUUAAGUCAGUUGUGAAAGUUUGCGGCUCAACCGUAAAAUUGCAGUUGAUACUGGAUAUCUUGAGUGCAGUUGAGGCAGGCGGAAUUCGUGGUGUAGCGGUGAAAUGCUUAGAUAUCACGAAGAACUCCGAUUGCGAAGGCAGCCUGCUAAGCUGCAACUGACAUUGAGGCUCGAAAGUGUGGGUAUCAAACAGGAUUAGAUACCCUGGUAGUCCACACGGUAAACGAUGAAUACUCGCUGUUUGCGAUAUACUGCAAGCGGCCAAGCGAAAGCGUUAAGUAUUCCACCUGGGGAGUACGCCGGCAACGGUGAAACUCAAAGGAAUUGACGGGGGCCCGCACAAGCGGAGGAACAUGUGGUUUAAUUCGAUGAUACGCGAGGAACCUUACCCGGGCUUAAAUUGCAGAUGAAUUACGGUGAAAGCCGUAAGCCGCAAGGCAUCUGUGAAGGUGCUGCAUGGUUGUCGUCAGCUCGUGCCGUGAGGUGUCGGCUUAAGUGUCAUAACGAGCGCAACCCUUGUUGUCAGUUACUAACAGGUUCCGCUGAGGACUCUGACAAGACUGCCAUCGUAAGAUGUGAGGAAGGUGGGGAUGACGUCAAAUCAGCACGGCCCUUACGUCCGGGGCUACACACGUGUUACAAUGGGGGGUACAGAGGGCCGCUACCACGCGAGUGGAUGCCAAUCCCCAAAACCUCUCUCAGUUCGGACUGGAGUCUGCAACCCGACUCCACGAAGCUGGAUUCGCUAGUAAUCGCGCAUCAGCCACGGCGCGGUGAAUACGUUCCCGGGCCUUGUACACACCGCCCGUCAAGCCAUGGGAGCCGGGGGUACUUGAAGUGCGUAACCGCGAGGAGCGCCCUAGGGUAAA